AAAUAUUUGGUUCUGGUAUACUGUUAAUCAUGAGUUCUUUGAUAUACACAAUGUAGGAAAUUUUCGUAAUGUGCUAAUUUAACAGAAGAGAUGAACUAAUAUCUGCUCCUAAAAGGCGUGUGUGUGGUAGUAUAAGCAUAAGUGUUGAAUGAUGACGCGAAAAGAAUCACAACUCAAGUGGACAGCCCUGGACUCAAUGAGUUAACGCUUGAAACGAACAAGAAACUAUAUACAAUAAGCUAAAAUGGGUGCCAGCAGCUGCGGUCAUACCCUUUGAAGGAGGAUUAAUAGAGGUACAGCCUAGAGGCGGUUAGUCAGUAUAAAAAUGCAUAUGACAUACGUUAAGUCAUAGAGGUCAAAUUCUAAGUCUUGGAGGAGGUCCUUUACUUGCAUAGAGAUGAUUCCGCGAAAUUAUGGAAAUAAACCUGGAUUUGAUACCCAAUUAUUCCAUAACGCCAAGAAUAACGGCUAUUAAAGUGUUAGCUGGUUGCUGGGGUACUACGAGCAGCUGCUUAAAACUCGAAGAACUUGGCGGUUCCAUAAAGCCAUCCAGAGGCUCUUGGCGCUUAAUCCGAUGAUCCGCGUGAUAUCUUACCUACCCUAUAUGGCAUCGUACUGCCGUCCAAAGUAUAUGAUGUGAGUAGACAUAAAUAAGCGCCACCUUAGGCGGCACACAUUAAUCAAUGUUCUGCUCUAAGUCAAAGUCAGGUCGAAGCGUUCCUUAUGGGUAAGGGGUUUGCUGAGAGACAAUUUUUUAGUUAUAUCAAGCCCUGUAGUUGAAAUACUCAAGUUUUCUAAAUUUGGUGAGGGGGAUUUGGGAGUAAAUAGAAAGUAAUUCAUUUUAUUGAAGAGACGUUACUAUGGUGCGUGCAAAUCGCCCGUCACCCUAGCCGAAAGGAGAGGUAAGUCGUAACAUGGUAAGGGUAGGGGAACCUGCUCUUGUA